rnacentral:tRNA from 1 species
GGCACUUUGGCCGAGUGGUUAAGGCGCCGUGUUCAGGAAAUUAAUUAAUUCCCUUGACUUCGCGGUCCGAAAGGGCGUGGGUUCGAAUCCCACAGGUGUCA